rnacentral:lncRNA from 1 species
CUCUUUAAACCGGACAUGCAUCAUACUCGAUUGUGCAUCAUGCCAUGUUGAUGUGUUGGUUGUUUACUAUGUUGUGUGCUUCUUUUCCGGUGAUUGCUUCCUCGGGUUGAUUCCGGUAACGUCGUGUUGUGAGGAUUCGUUCGUCUUCGUCCGUUUGUCUUCUUCAUGGACUCGUUCUUCUUCCUUGCGGGAUUUCAGGCAAGAUGAUCAUACCCUCGAAAUCACUACUAUCUUUGCUAUGCUAGUUUGCUCGCUCUUUUGCUCUGCCAUUGCUACGAUGCCUACCACUUGCUUGUCAGCCUCCCAAAUUGCCAUGUUCAGCCCCUAACCCACCAUUGUCCUAGCAAACCGUUGAUUGGCUAUGUUACCGCUUUGCUCAGCCCCUCUUAUAGCGUUGUUAGUUGCAGGUGAAGAUUGAAGUUUGUUCCUUGUUGGAACAUGGAGGCCGUUCCUUGUUGGAACAUUUAUUUACUUGUUGGGAUAUCACUAUAUAUCUUAUUUAAUUAAUGCAUCUAUAUACUUGGUAAAGGGUGGAAGGCUCGGCCUUAUGUCUGGUGUUUUGUUCCACUCUUGCCGUCCUAGUUUCCGUUAUAUCGGUGUUAUGUUCCCGGAUUUUUGCGUCCCUUACGCGGUUGGGUAUAUGGGAACCCCUUGACAGUUCGCUUUGAAUAAAACUCCUCCAGCAAGGCCCAACCUUGGUUUUACCAUUUGCCACCUAGCCUUUUUCCCUUGGGUUAGGCCAGCCCAAGGGUCAUCUUAUUUUAACCCCCGGGCCAGUGCUUGUCUAAGUGUUGGCCCAACCCAGAGCACCGUGCAGGGCCAUCCCUUGGCAACUUGGGUUACGUCUGCUCCUGUACGCUUAGCCUAUCCGGUGUGCCCUGAGAACGAGAUAUGUGCAGCUCCUAUCGGGAUGUCGGCGCAUCGGGUGGUUUUGCUGGACUUGUUUUACCAUUGUCGAGGAUGUCUUGGAGUACCGGGAUAUCGAGUCUGAUCGGAAUGUCUCGGGAGGAGGUCUAUUCCUUCGUUGACCGUGAGAGCUUGUGAUGGGCUAAGUUGGGACACCCCUGCAGGGUUUUGAACUUUCGAAAGUCGUGCCCGCGGUUAUGGGCAGAUGAGAAUUUGUUAACGUCCGGUUGUAGAAAACCUGAAGUUGACCUUAAUUAAAAUGAAACAACAGCGUGUGUAACCGUGAUGGUCUCUUUCCGACGGAGUCCGGGAAGUGAACACGGUUGUUGGAGUUAUGCUUGACGUAGGUAGUCCAGGAUCACUUCUUGAUCAUACUUUUAUCGACCGUGCUUUGCCCUCUCUUCUCGCUCUCAUUUGCGUAUGUUAGCCACCAUAUAUGCUAGUCGCUUGCUGCAGCUCCACCUCAUACAUUUACCUUACCCAUAAGCUUAAAUAGUCAUGAUCGUGAGGGUGCGAGAUUGCUGAGUCCCCGUGGCUCACAGAUACUCCCAAAACCAGCUUGCAGGUGCCGAU